rnacentral:rRNA from 1 species
AUUGAACGCUGGCGGAAUGCUUUACACAUGCAAGUCGAGCGGCAGCGCGGGGGCAACCCUGGCGGCGAGCGGCGAACGGGUGAGUAACAUAUCGGAACGUACCCCGUCGUGGGGGAUAACACAGCGAAAGCUGUGCUAAUACCGCAUACGACCUGAGGGUGAAAGCGGGGGAUCGCAAGACCUCGCGCGAUGGGAGCGGCCGAUAUUGGAUUAGCUUGUUGGUGAGGUAAAGGCUCACCAAGGCGACGAUCCGUAGCUGGUCUGAGAGGACGACCAGCCACACUGGAACUGAGACACGGUCCAGACUCCUACGGGGAGGCAGCAGUGGGGAAUUUUGGACAAGUGGGGGCAACCCUGAUCCAGCCAUUCCGCGUGAGUGAAGAAGGCC